GCGCCCAUAGCUCAAUUGGAUAGAGCGUCGGUCUACGGAACCGAAGGUUAGAAGUUCGAAACUUCUUGGGCGCGCAA
rnacentral:tRNA from 1 species